CCCACGGGAGGCAGCAGUGGGGAAUAUUGCACAAUGGGCGCAAGCCUGAUGCAGCCAUGCCGCGUGUAUGAAGAAGGCCUUCGGGUUGUAAAGUACUUUCAGCAGUGAGGAAGGUGGGUAUGUUAAUAGCAUACUCAUUUGACGUUAGCUGCAGAAGAAGCACCGGCUAACUCCGUGCCAGCAGCCGCGGUAAUACGGAGGGUGCGAGCGUUAAUCGGAAUUACUGGGCGUAAAGCGCAUGCAGGUGGUUUGUUAAGUCAGAUGUGAAAGCCCGGGGCUCAACCUCGGAAUUGCAUUUGAAACUGGCAAACUAGAGUACUGUAGAGGGGGUAGAAUUUCAGGUGUAGCGGUGAAAUGCGUAGAGAUCUGAAGGAAUACCGGUGGCGAAGGCGGCCCCCUGGACAGAUACUGACACUCAGAUGCGAAAGCGUGGGGAGCAAACAGGAUUAGAUACCCUGGUAG
rnacentral:rRNA from 1 species